rnacentral:rRNA from 1 species
AGAUUGAACGCUGGCGGCAUGCUUUACACAUGCAAGUCGAACGGUAACAGGCCGCAAGGUGCUGACGAGUGGCGAACGGGUGAGUAAUGUAUCGGAACGUGCCCAGUCGUGGGGGAUAACGCAGCGAAAGCUGCGCUAAUACCGCAUACGAUCUAUGGAUGAAAGCGGGGGACCGUAAGGCCUCGCGCGAUUGGAGCGGCCGAUAUCAGAUUAGGUAGUUGGUGGGGUAAAGGCGUCACCAAGCCAACGAUCUGUAGCUGGUCUGAGAGGACGACCA